rnacentral:rRNA from 1 species
UAUCCUACGGGAGGCAGCAGUGAGGAAUAUUGGUCAAUGGUCGGGAGACUGAACCAGCCAAGCCGCGUGAGGGAUGAAGGUACAGAGUAUCGUAAACCUCUUUUGUCAGGGAACAAAGGCGGGGACGCGUCCCCGGAUGAGUGUACCUGGAGAAAAAGCAUCGGCUAACUCCGUGCCAGCAGCCGCGGUAAUACGGAGGAUGCGAGCUUUAUCCGGAUUUAUUGGGUUUAAAGGGUGCGCCGGCGGUCUGUUAAGUCAGCGGUCAAAGCCCGGGGCUUAACCCCGGCCCGCCGUUGAAACUGGCC